rnacentral:rRNA from 1 species
UUGAAGAGUUUGAUCAUGGCUCAGAUUGAACGCUGGCGGCAGGCCUAACACAUGCAAGUCGAGCGGUAGCAGAGAGCUUGCUCGGGUGACGAGCGGCGGACGGGUGAGUAAUGUCUGGGAAACUGCCUGAUGGAGGGGGAUAACUACUGGAAACGGUAGCUAAUACCGCAUAAUGUCGCAAGACCAAAGUGGGGGACCUUCGGGCCUCAUGCCAUCAGAUGUGCCCAGAUGGGAUUAGCUUGUAGGUGGGGUAACGGCUCACCUAGGCGACGAUCCCUAGCUGGUCUGAGAGGAUGACCAGCCACACUGGAACUGAGACACGGUCCAGACUCCUACGGGAGGCAGCAGUGGGGAAUAUUGCACAAUGGGCGCAAGCCUGAUGCAGCCAUGCCGCGUGUGUGAAGAAGGCCUUCGGGUUGUAAAGCACUUUCAGCGGGGAGGAAGGCGGUGAGGUUAAUAACCUCAUCGAUUGACGUUACCCGCAGAAGAAGCACCGGCUAACUCCGUGCCAGCAGCCGCGGUAAUACGGAGGGUGCAAGCGUUAAUCGGAAUUACUGGGCGUAAAGCGCACGCAGGCGGUCUGUCAAGUCGGAUGUGAAAUCCCCGGGCUCAACCUGGGAACUGCAUUCGAAACUGGCAGGCUAGAGUCUUGUAGAGGGGUAGAAUUCCGUGUAGCGGUGAAAUGCGUAGAUCUGGAGGAAUACCGGUGGCGAAGGCGGCCCCCUGGACAAAGACUGACGCUCAGGUGCGAAAGCGUGGGGAGCAAACAGGAUUAGAUACCCUGGUAGUCCACGCCGUAAACGAUGUCGAUUUGGAGGUUGUGCCCUUGAGGCGUGGCUUCCGGAGCUAACGCGUUAAAUCGACCGCCUGGGGAGUACGGCCGCAAGGUUAAAACUCAAAUGAAUUGACGGGGGCCCGCACAAGCGGUGGAGCAUGUGGUUUAAUUCGAUGCAACGCGAAGAACCUUACCUGGUCUUGACAUCCACAGAACUUAGCAGAGAUGCUUUGGUGCCUUCGGGAACUGUGAGACAGGUGCUGCAUGGCUGUCGUCAGCUCGUGUUGUGAAAUGUUGGGUUAAGUCCCGCAACGAGCGCAACCCUUAUCCUUUGUUGCCAGCGGUCCGGCCGGGAACUCAAAGGAGACUGCCAGUGAUAAACUGGAGGAAGGUGGGGAUGACGUCAAGUCAUCAUGGCCCUUACGACCAGGGCUACACACGUGCUACAAUGGCAUAUACAAAGAGAAGCGACCUCGCGAGCAGCGGACCUCAUAAAGUAUGUCGUAGUCCGGAUUGGAGUCUGCAACUCGACUCCAUGAAGUCGGAAUCGCUAGUAAUCGUAGAUCAGAAUGCUACGGUGAAUACGUUCCCGGGCCUUGUACACACCGCCCGUCACACCAUGGGAGUGGGUUGCAAAAGAAGUAGGUAGCUUAACCUUCGGGAGGGCGCUUACCACUUUGUGAUUCAUGACUGGGGUGAAGUCGUAACAAGGUAACCGUAGGGGAACCUGCGGUUGGAUCACCUCCUU